rnacentral:rRNA from 1 species
UACAGAGGUCUCAAGCGUUGUUCGGAUUUAUUGGGCGUAAAGGGCGCGUAGGCGGACAUUUAAGUUGGAGGUGAAAGCCUUGGGCUCAACCCAAGAAUUGCCUUUGAUACUGGAUGUCUCGAGACCGGGAGAGGUGAGUGGAAUUCCGAGUGUAGAGGUGAAAUUCGUAGAUAUUCGGAAGAACACCAGUGGCGAAGGCGGCUCACUGGCCCGGUUCUGACGCUGAGGUGCGAAAGCGUGGGGAGCAAACAGG